UGGGGAAUAUUGCACAAUGGGCGGAAGCCUGAUGCAGCGACGCCGCGUGGGGGAUGACGGCCUUCGGGUUGUAAACCUCUUUCAGUGCAGAACAAGGCUCUUUGUGGGUUGAGGGUAUGCGCAGAAGAAGCGCCGGCUAACUACGUGCCAGCAGCCGCGGUAAUACGUAGGGCGCGAGCGUUGUCCGGAUUUAUUGGGCGUAAAGAGCUCGUAGGCGGUUUGUCGCGUCUGCUGUGAAAUCCUCUGGCUUAACUGGGACGUGCAGUGGGUACGGGCAGACUGGAGUGCGGUAGGGGAGACUGGAAUUCCUGGUGUAGCGGUGGAAUGCGCAGAUAUCAGGAGGAACACCGGUGGCGAAGGCGGGUCUCUGGGCCGUUACUGACGCUGAGGAGCGAAAGCAUGGGGAGCGAACAG
rnacentral:rRNA from 1 species